CCUACGGGAGGCAGCAGUGAGGAAUAUUGGUCAAUGGGCGCGAGCCUGAACCAGCCAAGCAGCGUGAAGGAUGACUGCCCUACGUGUUGUAAACUUCUUUUGUAAGGGAAUAAAGUGAGGCACGUGUGCCUUUUUGUAUGUACUUUAUGAAUAAGGAUCGGCUAACUCCGUGCCAUCAGCCGCGGUAAUACGGAGGAUCCGAGCGUUAUCCGGAUUUAUUGGGUUUAAAGGGUGCGUAGAUGGGUUGUUAAGUCAGUUGUGAAAGUUUGCGGCUCAACCGUAAAAGUGCAUUUGAUACUGGAAGUCUUGAGGACAGUUGAGGUAGGCGGAAUGCGUGGUGUAGCGGUGAAAUGCUUAGAUAUCACGAAGAACUCCGAUUGCGAAGGCAGCUUACUAAACUGCCACUGACAUUGAUGCUCGAAAGUGUGGGUAUCAAACAGGAUUAGAUACCCCGGUAGUC
rnacentral:rRNA from 1 species